UCUGAUCUCGGAAGCUAAGCAGGGUCGGGCCUGGUUAGUACUUGGAUGGGAGACCACCUAGGAAGACCAGGUGCUGUAGGUG
rnacentral:rRNA from 1 species